rnacentral:tRNA from 1 species
GGGGUUGUAGCUCAGGGGUAGAGGGCUCCCCUAGCAUGUGUGAGGCACUGGGUUCUAUCCUCAGCCCCA